CCUACGGGUGGCAGCAGUGAGGAAUAUUGGUCAAUGGACGAGAGUCUGAACCAGCCAAGUAGCGUGAAGGAUGACUGCCCUAUGGGUUGUAAACUUCUUUUAUACGGGAAUAAAAUGUUUCACGUGUGGCUUUUUGCAUGUACCAUAUGAAUAAGGAUCGGCUAAUUCCGUGCCAGCAGCCGCGGUAAUACGGAAGAUCCGAGCGUUAUCCGGAUUUAUUGGGUUUAAAGGGAGCGUAGGCGGAUUGUUAAGUCAGUUGUGAAAGGUUGCGGCUCAACCGUAGCAUUGCAGUUGAAACUGGCAGGCUUGAGUACAGUAGAGGUAGGCGGAAUUCGUGGUGUAGCGGUGAAAUGCUUAGAUAUCACGAAGAACUCCGAUUGCGAAGGCAGCUCACUGUACUGCAACUGACACUGAGGCUCGAAGGUGUGGGUAUCGAACAGGAUUAGAUACCCUAGUAGUC
rnacentral:rRNA from 1 species